rnacentral:rRNA from 1 species
UAGGGAAUAUUGGUCAAUGGAGGAGACUCUGAACCAGCCAUGCCGCGUGCAGGAAGACGGCCUUCUGGGUUGUAAACUGCUUUUGACAGGGAAGAAAAGGCCCAUGCGUGGGACAUUGACGGUACCUGUAGAAUAAGCACCGGCUAACUCCGUGCCAGCAGCCGCGGUAAUACGGAGGGUGCAAGCGUUGUCCGGAUUUAUUGGGUUUAAAGGGUGCGUAGGCGGUAGAUUAAGUCAGAGGUGAAAUCCAACAGCUCAACUGUUGAACUGCCUUUGAUACUGGUUUACUUGAGUACAAAUGAGGUAGGCGGAAUUUAUGGUGUAGCGGUGAAAUGCAUAGAUACCAUAAGGAACACCGAUAGCGAAGGCAGCUUACUAAAUUGUAACUGACGCUGAGGCACGAAAGCAUGGGGAUCGAACAGGAUUAGAUACCCCCGUAGUCC